UACGAAGGGAGCUAGCGUUGUUCGGAAUCACUGGGCGUAAAGCGCACGUAGGCGGACGUGUCAGUCAGGGUGAAUCCCGGAGCUCAACUUCGGAACUGCCUUGAUACAGCACGUCUUGAGUCCGGAAGAGGUGGUGGAAUUCCUAGUGUAGAGGUGAAUUCGUAGAUAUCAGGAGGAACACCAGCGGCGAAGGCGGCGCGUCUGGCCGGUACUGACACUGAGGAGCGAAGCGUGGUAGCAACAGG
rnacentral:rRNA from 1 species